rnacentral:rRNA from 1 species
CCUACGGGAGGCAGCAGUCGAGAAUCAUUCACAAUGGGGGAAACCCUGAUGGUGCGACGCCGCGUGGGGGAAUGAAGGUCUUCGGAUUGUAAACCCCUGUCAUGUGGGAGCAAAUUAAAAAGAUAGUACCACAAGAGGAAGAGACGGAUAACUCUGUGCCAGCAGCCGCGGUAAUACAGAGGUCUCAAGCGGUGUUCGGAAUCACUGGGCGUAAAGCGUGCGUAGGCUGUUUCGUAAGUCGUGUGUGAAAGGCGCGGGCUCAACCCGCGGUGGGCACAUGAUACUGCGAGACUAGAGUAAUGGAGGGGGAACCGGAAUUCUCGGUGUAGCAGUGAAAUGCGGAGAUAUCGAGAGGAACACUCGUGGCGAAGGCGGGUUCCUGGACAUUAACUGACGCUGAGGCACGAAGGUCAGGGGAGCGAAAGGGAUUAGAUACCCGUGUAGUC